UACGAAGGGUGCAAGCGUUAAUCGGAAUUACUGGGCGUAAAGGGUGCGUAGGCGGUUCGUUAAGUCUGUCGUGAAAUCCCCGGGCUCAACCUGGGAAUGGCGAUGGAUACUGGCGAGCUAGAGUGUGUCAGAGGAUGGUGGAAUUCCCGGUGUAGCGGUGAAAUGCGUAGAGAUCGGGAGGAACAUCAGUGGCGAAGGCGGCCAUCUGGGACAACACUGACGCUGAAGCACGAAAGCAUGGGGAGCAAACAGG
rnacentral:rRNA from 1 species